UAUCUACUUAUCUACUCUAAUAUUGUAAAGAAGUAAAGUUUGUUAGUUUGUUUGUUAACUAAUCUCUGGAACUACUAAACCGAUUUUGAAAAUUCGUUCACCAGUAGAGAGCUACAUUAUUUUUGAGUGACAUUAUUUAUAUUUUAUUUU